rnacentral:misc_RNA from 1 species
GAUGAAGAACGCAGCGAAAUGCGAUACGUAAUGUGAAUUGCAAAUUCAGUGAAUCAUCGAGUCUUUGAACGCACAUUGCGCCCCCUGGUAUUCCGGGGGGCAUGCCUGUCCGAGCGUCAUUGCUGCCCUCAAGCACGGCUUGUGUGUUGGGCCCCGUCCUCCGAUCCCGGGGGACGGGCCCGAAAGGCAGCGGCGGCACCGCGUCCGGCCCUCGAGCGUAUGGGGCUUUGUCACCCGCUCUGUAGGCCCGGCCGGCGCUUGCCGAUCAACCCAAAUUUUUAUCCAGGUUGACCUCGGAUCAGGUAGGGAUACCCGCUGAACUUAAGCAUAUCAAUAAGCGGAGGA